CUGGUAAGUUUCCUCCAAGCUGAAACCUUAUACCUGAUAGCAAUCCUUAACAGGCUUUUGGUGCAAAGUUGGCCUCAGUAUCUGUAUUGGGUUUGCGUGGCAAGGUUUUGGUAGCAGGGGGGGCAACAGGGGUGGCUUCUGUGAGAAGCUGCUAGAAGCUUCCCCCAUGUCUGACAGAGCAAAUGCCAGACGGCUCCAAGACGGACCCACCACCAGCCAAGGCCGAGCCCAUCAGGAACGGUGGUAGCACCUCUGGGAUAAAAUAUUUAAGAAGGGGAAAAAAGUUGUGGCAGGCACAGAAACUGCAGCUGGAGACAGGAGUGAGAACAUACAAGAGGAACAACCCUGCAGACCGCCACGUCAGUGUAGAAGGACGGAGAGGAGAUGCUCCAGGCACUGGAGCAGAGAUUCCCCUGCAGCCCGUGGAGAAGACCAUGGUGAGGCAGGCUGUCCCCCUGCAGCCAGUGGAGGUCCACGGUGGAGCAGAUAUCCACCUGCAGCCCAUGGAGGACCCCACGUCGGAGCAGGUGGAUGCCCAAAGGAGGCUGUGACCGUGGGAAGCCCGCGCUGGAGCAGGCUCCUGGGAGGACCUGUGGCCCCGUGGAGACAGGAGCCCACACUGGAGCAGGUUUUCUGGCAGGACCUGUGACCCCGCAGGGGACCCACGCUGGAGCAGUCUGUGCCUGAAGGACUGCAGCCCAUGGAAGGGACCCACGCUGGAGCAGUUUGUGAAGAACUGCAGCCUGUGGGAAGGACCCCAAGCUGGAGCAGGGGAAGAGUGAGGAGUCCUCCCCCUGAGGAGGAAGGAGCAGCAGACACAAGGUGUGAUGAACUGACCCCAACCCCCAUUCCCUGUCCCCCUGCAGCACUGAGAGGAGGAGGUAGAGGAUUCAGGAGUGAAGCUGUGCUCAGGAAGAAGGGAGGGGUGGGGGGGAAGGUGUUUUAAGAUUUGGUUUUAUUUCUCAUUACCCUACUUUGGUUUAAUUGGCAAUAAAUUAAGUUAAUUUUCCCCAAGUCGAGUCUGUUUUGCCCAUGACGGUAAUUGGUUGAGUGAUCUCCCUGUCCUUAUCUCGACCCACAAGCCUUUUGUUAUAUUUUCUCUCCCCUGUCUAGCCAAGGCAGGGGUCGUGAUAGAGUGGCUGUGUGGUGCUUAGUUGCUGGCUGGGGUUAAACCACGGCAGUAUCCUAUACAAGUCUCCCAACUUCUUUAAUUACUUUGAUACUUAUAAGGAAGAGAUGUGUUUAAAAAAAAAAAAAAGCAUCACAAAGGACCCUGUGUUUUCCUGUCCCAUGCUGAAGAAGCUAAUAAAUUGCAUGAUCCCAAGAAAUCAAGAGAAGAGCGAGCCACAGUAGUGUCGUGGAAGUAGUAGGUAGCGCUGAUCACCUCACCAUUGCAGCACUGGCCAGGACGGAGCUGCGCUAAUUGCUGCCCUUGAUAUCAGUAGCUCCAGGGCUUAGCCUCUAUUCAGAUGAAGCCAGUUUCUAACAAAGCUCCCAAACAGUAUUUUACUACUGAGGAGAUUUGUUACUCUCUUUUAGGGGUAGUUUUUCUCUUUUACGUUCUCAUCAGACUGCCUUGCGUGUUCUUUGUAGUUUCACUGGUUGCCAGUCAUUGAGAAGUACAUGUGAUGUGUCACUACUUCCUCAUCCAUCUUUGCAUCAGAUAGCUGUCCAAUUAUACUUAGACUACUCAGAAAUCUACAGUGUCUUUACUUUCACUGCUGUCUGACCACUGUCCACAUAUUUGGGUGGCUCCAUCUUACUACAGAGGGACAACGUCCUCUGCCCAUCCCAAACUCCAGAUGCUUUCCAGCUCUUACAUUCUUCAUCUUCCUGCCACCUUGUUCCCAUGUAGUGGCCAUGUGUAAUCACUUCCAUGUCAUGUGUCGCUACACAUCACCUGAUUUACUAGAUUUUGUUGUUCUUCCUAGGAAAAUGAUAUUCUGAAUAAAAAGGAUUUGCCUUUUGGAAGGUUUUCACGCCCAUUUAGUAAUAACACAGGAUGUAGUGUACUCUAGGCCCACAGUACAUCCAUCUACCUACCCAGAAUCAGACCCAGUACAGGCAAAUGCAGACAACCUCCUCAUAGGGAAAUGCAUCUGUCAGACAGUGGCAGCUUUGGUACAGUAGCAUGGACCUUCAUACACCAUAAGAACAUUCACAGCUUCCUUUCUAUAUGGGUGUGAACGCACUCAUCGCUCAUAAAAGUUCAAACUUUGUAGAAAUCCUACUCACGCAAAAGAGCUUUUUGCUCCCACUCACCUUGUGGGAGUGAAGUCCAACUGCGAAAUCCUUUCUUUUAUGUAGAAGGAUUUUCCCUUGAUAAGUUUUCUAUUUGAUAUCCUUUUGAUUUCACAAUAUGUCUUCUCCUUCUCGUAUUCUGAAAUAGUAAAUAAAAGCAGUUCAUUUCCUCUCUUUAUAUUUUUUGUACUGUACAAAAAUUUCUAUUGUAUCUCAGAUUUGUCUCCCUCCAAACAUUGAACUGUUUUCUGCCUCUUCCUACCAAAGCAAUGGAUACUAAUAAUUUCCGGAACCUCCAUAUUUCUACUAGGCUUUUUUAAUCUUGGUAGAUGUUGGUUUUUCACGUUUUUUAUCUUAAGUGAGGGCACUCCUGCUCAGAAAAAAGCAUGAAAAUCCUCCACACAAUAUCUGAUCAGUACUUACUGCUAGCCCUUAUCUAGAUGGCUUUUUAAUUAAGAUCCAUCUGACUUCAAACAGACACAAUUAAAGGCUAUAGCAGAAGAAAUCAAGCUGAAUCAACCGCUACACUAUUUUAAAGUAUAUUUGCAAUUAUUAAAAG